UUAUUAUGUAUUUUCCUUUGUAAAACCAUGGGUUGUAUUUGGGCUGUAAUCAGUCAAAAGAACCAAACUUGAAGGUAUGAUAUAUAUAUGCUUUCUACUAUAUAGUUUUGUUGAUGAGCCUUGUGUAGGAGAGAUGGUUUUGGACCUUAAGUUGAAGGCUUUCAAGUUUUGGACCUUGGGUGACAUAUAAUGAAUAUAUUAUGUCCCAAAAGUAAUUUAUUUAAGAUUGAUAAUCCUUG
rnacentral:lncRNA from 1 species